rnacentral:lncRNA from 1 species
CCCUCCUUCCCCUCCAGCAGCCCCCCCCCGGGGUGUACGUGUGUGUGCUGUGACCCCCCAGCCCGGGCUGACCCCCGGGUGGUGGAGGGGUGGGUGAGGAGGAGAAAAGCGGGGGGGGACCGGGCACUUCUGCAGGCGCAGCCCUUUCACAUCAAGAGAUUGGCUAUAAGGAGAAGGCUGACGGCUGCAGCAUGAAGCGCAUUAUUACCUUGUGAUUCCAUGACCCUCCUCUAUGCAUCCCUAACUCUCGAAAGCUGAUUCAGCUUUCAGCUAGUGCUCUGGUGAGUCCUCUGCUGCAACAGAAGCUCCUAACUGUUCUUUGCGCUGGUGGCCUUUCUGGAGGAAGAGAAACUUGGACUUGGUGGGCUGGAACAGACACUGGAGAGCAUGGAGAAGCAUGGAAAUCCAUCAGCAUCCAUCCCCAUCUCUGGCACAAGGGAGAAAAUGAAGAUGCUGAGACAUGAGCUAAUGAACACACCAAGGGAAGUGAGGACAAGAAUGUUAAUUGCCUGUACAGCAGUGCCGCGAGUCUGAGCAAUAAAAAAAAAGUGGGAACGACUAAUUUAUGAGUGCAAAUUCUAUCUGGAGAGCAUGACUUAAAACUUGGGGAGAAAAUCCAUGUGCCUGGAAUAUUAAAAUCAAUAGUUGUAACCUAUUUAGAAAGAAUUGAGUGGGCAAAGAAGGUGCAGGAGGGGCAAUCAGUAUCGUAAGUGACAUUGCUGUGUUACAAGCACUGCUAGAAACCUAAGAGAAAGUGACCUCAAACACAAAUAAAAGCCAAAAGAAGAUGCUUCUUCAGAUCAUCAAACCUCAUGGACUCCUUAGUCACACAUCUAUGUAACAAUUAAGAAAAUUUCCCUCUGCUGUCCUAGAAAACAUCAACCUGAGUGAAGUGAGCUGGAGGGCUCAUGCUGCUGGUUUUUGGAAUUUCUAAAUGUCGUAGAAGGUGAUUUCCCAACCAAAACCAGGAGGGUCCUCUUCGGGAUCAUCAGGGCAGCUGGAGAACUGAUCACAGAUCCAAAAACUAUCUACAGCCAGCACAAAGGUGACCCCAUUUCAAUCAUAGGUGCUGGGCACAGACAGCAGAAAGCCUGAGCUGGGAGUAGGUCCCUUUGGUUAUCAGCCUCAUAAGCCAGGUCAGCCAGAGGAUUUUAAACAGAAAACAUGAAUGAUAUUUGGCAACUCUUUGUUUAAAAGCAUUCUGGAUUCUCAGGAAUCUAGUAAAGCCUCAGCAUUGAGAAAGAGGAGGUUAUUCUGGUUAAAAAUAGAAGUUCAAAGGGGAGUGAGAGCAGUUUAAAAUCACCCAAAGGAAGGGAAAGUGGAUAAUGAGGAAGGAAAACCAGCCCCAAGCAGAAGGCUGGUAGGUGAAACCCAUGGCCAGCAGAGCUGAGAGCAGUAGGGGAGCGAUCUUUAGAUAUAAGAGACUAAAAGUAGUUGUCUAGACAGAAUAGCAGACAUUAAAAAAAGAAUGCACAAAAGGCAGACACUAAAUAUUUAAUUUCUCUAUUUUAGGGGCAAAAAAAGCUAAGUGAAGUAGCAAUAUAAUCUGAUGUAAUCCGACUCAGGAUGUUAAACAGCCACUACUACAGCUAGAGGAAUUUCGUUGAUCGGCAGCCAUCAAUAUUCAGUGCCUGGAAGGUUUAAAAUCUGUCCUGGGCCGGCAGCAUCUGCAGGGCCAGGAGUUUUCCAGAA